rnacentral:rRNA from 1 species
GAUGAACGCUGGCGGCGUGCCUAAUACAUGCAAGUCGAGCGAAUGGAUUAAAAGCUUGCUCUUAUGAAGUUAGCGGCGGACGGGUGAGUAACACGUGGGUAACCUGCCCAUAAGACUGGGAUAACUCCGGGAAACCGGGGCUAAUACCGGAUAACAUUUUGAACCGCAUGGUUCGAAAUUGAAAGGCGGCUUCGGCUGUCACUUAUGGAUGGACCCGGGUCGCAUUAGCUAGUUGGUGAGGUAACGGCUCACCAAGGCAACGAUGCGUAGCCGACCUGAGAGGGUGAUCGGCCACACUGGGACUGAGACACGGCCCAGACUCCUACGGGAGGCAGCAGUAGGGGAUCUUCCGCAAUGGACGAAAGUCUGACGGAGCAACGCCGCGUGAGUGAUGAAGGCUUUCGGGUCGUAAAACUCUGUUGUUAGGGAAGAACAAGUGCUAGUUGAAUAAGCUGACACCUUGACGGUACCUAACCAGAAAGCCACGGCUAACUACGUGCCAGCCGCCGCCGUAA